GACGUAGGGCGCGAGCGUUGUCCGGAUUUACUGGGCGUACAGGGAGCGUAGGCGGUUGGAUAAGCCCUCCGUGAAAUCUCCAGGCUUAACCUGGAAAGUGCAGAGGGGACUGUUCAGCUAGAGGAUGGGAGAGGAGCGCGGAAUUCCCGGUGUAGCGGUGAAAUGCGUAGAGAUCGGGAGGAAGGCCGGUGGCGAAGGCGGCGCUCUGGAACAUUUCUGACGCUGAGGCUCGAAAGCGUGGGGAGCAAACAGG
rnacentral:rRNA from 1 species